rnacentral:misc_RNA from 1 species
GAUGAAGAACGCAGCGAAAUGCGAUAACUAAUGUGAAUUGCAGAAUUCCGUGAAUCAUCGAGUCUUUGAACGCACAUUGCGCCCCCUGGUAUUCCGGGGGUCAUGCCUGUCCGAGCGUCAUUGCUGCCCAUCAAGCACGGCUUGUGUGUUGGGUCCCGUCCCCCUCUCCCGGGGGACGGACCCGAAAGGCAGCGGCGGCACCGCGUCCGGUCCUCGAGCGUAUGGGGCUUUGUCACCCGCUCUUGUAGGCCCGGCCGGCGCUUGCCGACACCCAACCAUUUUUUUCAGGUUGACCUCGGAUCAGGUAGGGAUACCCGCUGAACUUAAGCAUAUCAAUAAGCGGAGGA